rnacentral:rRNA from 1 species
AUACGUAGGGGGCGAGCGUUGUCCGGAAUUACUGGGCGUAAAGAGCUCGUAGGUGGUUUGUCGCGUCGUCUGUGAAAUUCCGGGGCUUAACUCCGGGCGUGCAGGCGAUACGGGCAUAACUUGAGUACUGUAGGGGAGACUGGAAUUCCUGGUGUAGCGGUGAAAUGCGCAGAUAUCAGGAGGAACACCGGUGGCGAAGGCGGGUCUCUGGGCAGUAACUGACGCUGAGGAGCGAAAGCAUGGGUAGCGAACAGGAUUAGAUACCCUGGUAGUCCAUGCCGUAAACGGUGGGCGCUAGGUGUAGGGGUCUUCCACGACUUCUGUGCCGUAGCUAACGCAUUAAGCGCCCCGCCUGAGGAGUACGGCCGCAAGGCUAAAACUCAAAUGAAUUGACGGGG